CAAUCUUCAUGGCAAUACGCCUAUAGCGCACGAUUUUAUCCACGAUAGCAGUAGUCGCUAUCGUAGCUCUUGCGCCGACAUCAGAAGCGUUGGCGUGCGAGUGUAUCUGAGCGUCGCGGUUGCACAUGUUCGCGGAGGUAUAGCGAAAAUAUACGCCGAAGAACCUAUAAUAUUAGCACGCAACCGCAUGAAUGAUUGAAAGGUAUACUUUUGGCUCUAAAAGGUGACAGCGUAGGUCGUCGCGCGCUAGGGACGACGCAGACGUCGGCAUGGCCGCCCCGGAAGCCCGCCUGGAUGUAUCCUACCGUCGGUUAGACGACAAGAGUGACGCCGCGACGCAGUCCUCGCGCAAGUCCCGCUGGUUGCUAACAAUCUGGCGAGGUGCCAACAUUGUGAUGACGGUGUUUUUCCUUCUCGCCGUCUGUGUACAGUUCAAUGACCCUGAUCCGUACAUUUGGAUA